GAAAUGCGAUACGUAGUGUGAAUUGCAGAAUUCCGUGAAUCAUCAAAUCUUUGAACGCAUAUUGCGCUCGAGGCUUCGGCCAAGAGCAUGUCUGCCUCAGCGUCGGGUUAAUAUCUCCUCUUACUCCCAAGGAGUACUAAGAGCGGACCUGGUUGUUCCAGCGAGUUGGAGCUUGCUCCAAACACACGAGCUGGAUCAGCUGAAGAACAGAGGCUAAUCAAGGACCCGUUAAGGGCCGCAACUGGGUAGGCAGCUCUGCUGUUAUUCUUAGUUGUUGGCUUGGAUCUUUGAUUUGGCCCUCAAUCAGGAACCUUAACCCUAUUUUCUCGACCUGAGCUCAGGCAAGAACACCCGCUGAACUUAAGC
rnacentral:misc_RNA from 1 species